rnacentral:lncRNA from 1 species
CAAUGUUGGCUGAAAAUCUCGUGGAUGUUCCCCAUUUGCAAACACAAGAAAAUGGACUGUUACAGACAAAUGUACUAUCCCAGGAGGAAGUAGCAGGACCUUCCCAGACUAAUCAACCAUCCCAGGAGGAAGUAGCAGGACCUUCCCAGACUAAUCAACCAUCCCAGGAGGAAGUAGCAGGACCUUCGCAGACUAAUCAACCAUUGCAGGAGGAUGUAGCAGAACCUUCGCAGACUAAUCAACCAUUGCAGGAGGAUGUAGCAGAACCUUCGCACACUAAUCAACCAUUGCAGGAGGAUGUAGCAGAACCUUCACACACUAAUCA